GGAUGCAAGUAUGACCCGGCUAUAGCAUUAUUUACCCUAUUGAUUGCAGGGGUCUAGUGAACUGAUUGGCUGGGGAGAUAGGUGCCCCUUCUUUCCCUCACUGCUUAAUGUGCUUGCCUCCUGAAGCUCCUUGAUUGACUGAAGGGACAGCAGACCUCCCCGAUAGAGGAGGGCAUUCUUCAACCAAAAGUAUAGCACUAGCUGUGCUCGCCUGGAAGAACCCCCAUAGAUGUUCUCAAAGAAAUGGGAGCAUGGAUCUCAGGGGAGAAAUCCCAAGACCCCAGGCCUAUUUUUGGGGGGAGGGGUUACUUUUAA
rnacentral:snRNA from 1 species